AAUGAACGCUGGCGGCGUGCUUAACACAUGCAAGUCGCACGAGAACUCUUCUGCUUGCAGAAGAUAGUAAAGUGGCGCACGGGUGAGUAACGCGUGGGUAAUCUACCUCCGAAUCGGGGAUAACCCGCCGAAAGGCGAGCUAAUACCGGAUAAUAUCUUUGAAACAUCGGUUUUUUAGAUCAAAGGUGGCCUCUACAUGUAAGCUACUGUUUGGAGAUGAGCCCGCGUACCAUUAGCUUGUUGGUAGGGUAAUGGCCUACCAAGGCUUCGAUGGUUAGCUGGUCUGAGAGGAUGAUCAGCCACACUGGAACUGACACACGGUCCAGACUCCUACGGGAGGCAGCAGUGAGGAAUUUUGCGCAAUGGGGGAAACCCUGACGCAGCAACGCCGCGUGAGUGAUGAAGGCCUUCGGGUCGUAAAGCUCUGUC
rnacentral:rRNA from 1 species